AGCACAUAUUCAUCAAGCCAUUUUCUCGGUUGGAAGCUUAGAACUAUAGUUGGGAGAACUGAUUCAUUUUUAUGACUUCCAAAGUGACAAAUGUGCAAGCAGUUUUGAACGGGAGAGUUUGUGAGAAGCUGGAACAGGAAUCGCUUUUCUCCAUAAAGGAAGCCUGAAUGAGCAAGAUCAUCUGCCACAAAAUGGAAAAUGAGUCAACCAUUUUCAAGAAAUGACACUUUCUUCUAUUCUUGGUUCCAUCUGCUUGCCAGAGUUGAAUGAGGAAGGAAGCAUGCAUGUCUGGCAAUGGUUUAACAGUUAUGGUGCCGUGACUUUCGGAUGGAAAUGAUGGAAACGGGACAAUGCAGCCCAAUCUUGCCGACGCUUUUGGGUGCCACG